AUCCUUUUGUAAUUCACAGGUGUGAUUAUUGGGUUUUCAUGCUCGUGUGAGAGGUACCUCCUUCAAACCUUGUUACAACACGGGCACAUUUCCUGUCUGUUG
rfam:Pan troglodytes isolate Yerkes chimp pedigree #C0471 (Clint) chromosome 1, whole genome shotgun sequence.